GUGAGAUUCCCGUAUGUGACCGGUGACCAACCCCAUGUGAAACUCCUUCGACGAGUCGAGUUGUUUGGGAAUGCAGCUCAAAAUGGGUGGUAUAUUUCAUCUAAAGCUAAAUACCGGCCAGAGACCGAUAGCGCACAAGUAGAGUGAUCGAAAGAUGAAAAGCACUUUGGAAAGAGAGUCAAACAGUACGUGAAAUUGUUGAAAGGGAAGCGCUCGCAACCAGACCUGCCCGCGGCCGAUCAACCGUCCUUCUGGGCGGUGCACUCGGCCGUGAUCAGGCCAGCAUCGGUUCGGGCGGCCGGAUAAAGGCCCUGGGAAUGUAGCUCCUCUCGGGGAGUGUUAUAGCCCUCGGUGUAAUGCGGCCAGCCUGGACCGAGGACCGCGCUUCGGCUAGGAUGCUGGCGUAAUGGUUGUGAGCGGCCCGUCUUGAAACACGGACCAAGGAGUCUAACAUCUAUGCGAGUGUUUGGGUGUCAAACCCAUGCGCGUAAUGAAAGUGAACGGAGGUGGGAACCCGUUAGGGCGCACCAUCGACCGAUCCAGAUGUCUUCGGAUGGAUUUGAGUACGAGCAUAGCUGUUGGGACCCGAAAGAUGGUGAACUAUGCCAGAAUAGGGUGAAGCCAGAGGAAACUCUGGUGGAGGCUCGCAGCGGUUCUGACGUGCAAAUCGAUCGUCAAAUUUUGGCAUAGGGGCGAAAGACUAAUCGAACCAUU
rnacentral:rRNA from 1 species